UAGCAGAAGCAACAAGACAGGGCCC
rnacentral:rRNA from 1 species